GGCACGAGCGGAUCACACAACCCUAGAGCUCGUCAAUUUAUUGGUAAGUUGUCUUACCACAAAUUAAUACGGUUGUUUGAUCUGUUCCUGUCCCGUCUGGAAGCUCUGCUGCAGGUAAAGCGUCUCUUCAGUCCAACGAAUCAAAUUAAUCAUUGAAGAGAGAUUGGGGAGCUCCAGCGAGAGAUAGAGUGUGCGCGCGCACAGCCAUAGACGCUCUGUUGUUAUGAUUAACUAACAAGCGGUUUGUGGUUCUAAAUUGAUACAAAAUUGUUAGAAUUAUUUUUGAUAGGUAGGCCUACUAUAAAGUCCUGUGGCUGUGUUCUACGGGAACAAAUUAGUGUCAAAAUUCCAAUAGAGCAAGCGCAGGUCCGCAGGUCGAAUGAGUGCGCACUUGUUGGAUUUCUGAGGCCCCAACUGAAAUUGGUUUGGGUCUUCUAUAAAGUCCUGCGACUGUUAUCUGGGGGAACGAAUUAGUGUCAAAGUUCCAGUAUAGGUAUAGCAGCGCAGGUCCGUGGGUCGAAUGAGUACGUACCUGUUGGACUUUUUGAAAUCACAUCUGGAGUUAUUAUUUUAUUUUGCAUUUAAAAGACGAGUUAAGUGAGUUCCAGUCUUUUAUUUUGCAUUUAUUGACGAGUGAGUGAGUUCCAGUCUUUUUUCAUUAAAAGACGAGUGAGUGAGUUACGAUCUUUUUUCAUUAAAAGACGAGUGAGUGAGUUCCAGUCAGUAUCUUAUGCAAACAAAUUCGGCCGUUUUUUCGAUACACUAUUGAACGUGGUAUAAACAGUUUCCUUCUGUAUUUAAAUUGUGUUGGAUUAAGUUGCCUCGGAGGCUUUUACAAUCCGUUUUUUUAGUUUAUCCUGUCAUUAAGACAGUCAGAGAAAUAAAUAACUUGUCUGGAACAAGUGGGCGAAACUUUAUCUAGAGGUGUGUUCUCUUAGCCUGUGGCCAGAAAGGGUGGGGGCCUAGGAGCAGAGUGCAUCUAAAAACAGCUGGGACGCAGAUCCCAAUCGAUAGAGAGGGAGAGAGGGAGAGAGAGAGAGAGAGAGAGAGAGAGAGAGAGAGAGAGAGAGAGAGAGAGAGAGAGAGAGAGAGAGAGAGA